UACGAAGGGGACUAGCGUUGUCCGGAUUUACUGGGCGUAAAGGAUGCGUAGGCGGACAUUUAAGUCAGAUGUGAAAUACCCGAGCUUAACUUGGGUGCUGCAUUUGAAACUGGGUGUCUAGAGUGCAGGAGAGGUAAGUGGAAUUCCUAGUGUAGCGGUGAAAUGCGUAGAGAUUAGGAAGAACACCAGUGGCGAAGGCGACUUACUGGACUGUAACUGACGCUGAGGCAUGAAAGCGUGGGGAGCAAACAGG
rnacentral:rRNA from 1 species